rnacentral:lncRNA from 1 species
GUAGUCUUAUCCACCAACACCUGACCCGCAUAUCCCGGGUACGCACCCGACCCGAAUAUCCCCGUACAAGCCGAAACCGCCUCUAACGGCGCGUUAGCCGGCCCUUGAAAAUACCCUUGGUUAAACGGGUUCGUAACGGCACCGGCCAACACCGUAGCUAAAUUAAUCACCAUUCCGUCCACUCCAACGUCGCCGUUAGGAGAAACUAACGGCGGCGAUUGUGGCCCGUAUAUCGGUUGAUGAAACGGCCAUGCACACUGACCCGGACACUGAGUCUCCGAGUUACCAACCCACGCGUACGCGACCCGGUUACCCGUUUUCGUCGACCCGUGUGUCCCGCACCGGCUCCGACAAAACCCGUCUACACCGACUUCCUUUGCCGUUAACACGACGUUAAUGGAGUUUUUUUGUGAAACUUUUGUCGCUAAAUAUUGGAUAUGGUAGUUUUUUAAGAACUUUCCCAACGAGUAGUUUUCGUCGAGGAUUUGUUUACCGACGACCGUUGCUGACGACCCGUUGUGAUAUUUCUCAGUGGUUUUCCACCAUGUUGCGACGGAGGGUGGUGGCGGCGCCGACCUUUUUACCGUAUUAACGGUGUUUAAAGAUUGUAAAAAGUCAACGAUGAUUGACCGUUGGGUGGGUGUAAACUUACCAUACCAGACAAUAUUAACGGUAACGGGGCCUUUUAACAGAGCUCCGUUGUGAUAUUUUAAGACAAGGGGCUGCUGAGUGACCAAGGCUGAAAAAGAUAUUUUGAGGAACAAGAAGAUGAGAAGAAUGGCAAGAUGGUAAUUAUGAGCCAUGAGGAGGGUUAAAGUGGGAAGUGGGGAGGUAGUGAGGAUGGGGGUAUGCAGGGUUUGGUUUAUAUAGGGGAGACAGCUGUAGGGUCAUUAUGGUUUGGGGACACGUGGAAGAAGGGGAUUGGUGGGAGUGGUAGGAAGCCAGGCUGUAAGGUUCUGUUGACGUGGCGUGGUUAAGGGUUGAUGGUGACAUGGCAGAUUAAAAGCGUGGAUGCGUGUAUGGUGUAUGGAUGAUUAUGAUUCCAAUUAUAUGAAUUUUAAUUGGUGUUCUAUUUACUGGGAUGAUAUAUGUGGUGUAGAAAAAUAA